rnacentral:rRNA from 1 species
GCUCCAGACUCCUACGGGAGGCAGCAGUGAGGAAUAUUGGUCAAUGGUCGGGAGACUGAACCAGCCAAGCCGCGUGAGGGAGGAAGGUACAGAGUAUCGUAAACCUCUUUUGUCAGGGAACAAAGACUGGGACGCGUCCCCGGAUGAGUGUACCUGAAGAAAAAGCAUCGGCUAACUCCGUGCCAGCAGCCGCGGUAAUACGGAGGAUGCGAGCGUUAUCCGGAUUUAUUGGGUUUAAAGGGUGCGCAGGCGGUCUGUUAAGUCAGCGGUGAAAGUCUGUGGCUCAACCAUAGAAUUGCCGUUGAAACUGGGGGGCUUGAGUAUGUUUGAGGCAGGCGGAAUGCGUGGUGUAGCGGUGAAAUGCAUAGAUAUCACGCAGAACUCCGAUUGCGAAGGCAGCGUACCGGCGCCCAACUGACGCUCAUGCACGAAAGCGUGGGUAUCGAACAGGAUUAGAUACCCCGGUAC